rnacentral:rRNA from 1 species
AAGUAGUACCCCCAUAGAGAAAAACUAAUAUAGUUUGGCGGCAUUAUACCCCAUUAGAGGAACCUGUACAAUAAUCGACAACCCCCGAUAAAUUUCACUUAGGUUAAAAUCUUAUAUACCUCCGUUCACCAAAUUAAAAAAUAUUUUUUUUUUAACCAACGCUACUCAAAAAAUAGGUAAAGGUGUAGAACAUACCUAAGAUAUUAUGGGUUACAUUAAACUUAAUUUAAGGAAAAAGAAUAAAAAUUCAACCUAAAAAAGGAUUUAUAAGUAUUAUUAAACUAAACUUGUUACUAAUAAUAAUUUAAUAUGAAAACUAGGUAAAUGUGC